GAGGUGGUUAAACCUCUCCCAGUGGGCCCUGCAGAGUUGUCGUGACAGCGUUGACACGCUUGUGCCUAGGCACAGAGGACAGGUUUUUGGGGGAGCUCAGGGCCACAGGGGAAGUGGAUGGCUCCCUGAGCUGACUAUAUUAAUAAUACAGGAGCCAGAGAGUAAACAUUCUUUCUGUGGUUACUUCCAGGCUCUGGGAAAGAUGACCACUCUCACGCGGCAGGACCUGAACUUCGGGCAAGUUGUUGCAGAUGUUCUUUCAGAAUUUCUGGAAGUGGCUGUUCACCUUAUCUUGUAUGUCAGAGAAGUUUACCCUAUUGGGAUCUUUCAGAAGAGGAAAAAAUACAAUGUACCUGUCCAGAUGUCCUGCCACCCCGAGCUGAACCAGUACAUCCAGGACACGCUGCACUGCGUAAAGCCGCUGCUCGAGAAGAACGAUGUGGAGAAAGUCGUAGUGGUGAUCCUGGAUAAAGAGCACCACCCUGUGGAGAGAUUUGUCUUCGAGAUCACCCAGCCACCUCUUCUUUCCAUUAGCUCAGAGUCCCUGCUGUCCCACGUGGAGCAGUUACUGCGUGCCUUCAUCCUGAAGAUCAGCGUGUGCGAUGCUGUGCUUGACAACAAUCCCCCAGGUUGCACCUUCACAGUUCUGGUUCACACACGGGAGGCUGCCACACGGAACAUGGAAAAGAUCCAGGUGAUAAAGGACUUCCCGUGGAUCCUCGCUGACGAACAAGAUGUGCACAUGCACGACCCCCGGCUCAUUCCCCUGAAAACGAUGACAUCUGACAUCUUAAAGAUGCAGCUGUACGUAGAAGAGCGAGCACACAAAGGCACCUGAUUCCAUAUCUUCCUUGCCUUCAAGCCUCAUCUGAUCUUCCAGUGGAAUAAGAUACAACACAAACCAUACCUUGAUAACCGUCUCUUCAGCUGGCCUUCCGGGUGAAUGUAGAGCAGCUGCUGCCUCGAUUUCAAGUGCUCUUACCAGUGUAUAUAGAACUGACUUGGAAUGUGGAGCCAGAGCCUGUUCCCCUGGACGCUCACGUGUGAGUGAGUGUAGGUUUUGUUACAGCCAGUCCCUGCAGCGCGGUCAGCGCUUUGUACAGAUCCAGGUCUCACCUCAACAGGGCAUCUCCACUGCACAGCGCAGCGACACAGCGACGGGCUCGUACUAAAGGGCACUAGUAAUUGCAGUAACAUCCAUGGUACAAGAGAAUGAAAGAGGAAGACAAGUCCUUCCAGAGGGCUGGGCCUGCAGAAGUUCUGCUGCAAGAAGAACUGGCUGCUUCUAUUUGGGAUCAUCUGUG